rnacentral:rRNA from 1 species
UGUCCUACGGGACGCAGCAGUAGGGAAUUUUCGUCAAUGGGCGCAAGCCUGAACGAGCAAUGCCGCGUGAACGAGGAAGGUCUUCGGAUCGUAAAGUUCUGUUGAAGGGGAAAAAGAGCGGAGAGAGGAGAUGAACUCCGAUUGAUAUUACCCUUCGAGGAAGUCACGGCUAACUACGUGCCAGCAGCCGCGGUAAUACGGAGGAUGCGAGCGUUAUCCGGAUUUAUUGGGUUUAAAGGGUGCGCAGGCGGCACGGCAAGCCGGCGGUCAAAUCGCGGGGCUCAACCCCGCCCAGCCGUCGGAAC